CCCGGACGUGAAACAGCAGCGACAUGUCUCAUCCCUCGUUCUGUGUCUGUCUUAUCUAAUUCAAUGAUGAUGGAUAUUUAUUGUGAGCUGCACGAGACCAGAGCUGACUCCCCAUCUUGCAAGGCAGUGUGAGAGGCUCUGCUCUCUGCAUGUAUUGGACUGAAUCUGAGGCUGCAAUUAUUUUAAUCUUUUCUGUUGAAGAAGCAAAACAUACAC